GGCUCUCUAAAGUAGAUGGAGAAUUGUGUCAUAAAGGAAUGCUGUUUUACAUUUUCUGGGCUGGGUGUGCAAACAUGGCAGAGAUGGGUGAUAAAACACUCAUGGCUAUGAAGAAUUACAGUUCAUAUCUGCGACACUAGAAUGAUUAGGGGCAAUAAAUCAUCUUAACUAAAGACACACAUGCACAAGAAAAAAAGAGAAACCCAGCCAUUAUCCCCUCCUGUGUGAAACACAGGAAGCAACAGAUAUUCAAAGAAAUGCUCUUCAAAGAUUUCCUGCCAGCAUUCUUCAGCUCAAGCUGGAGAUAUUAUAUGCCCGGAUCUCACUCAGAGAAAGCUGCUGCAAUCUAUAAUGUAAUCAGUAAUGGCAGCAGCCAGGAAGGCAGUGUGACUCAUUCUUUACAGAACACCCUGAGGAGAAGUGAAUCCACAUCCACACUCAAACCUGCCAUACCGGUAACAUCCUGAGUGGAGCCCUCAUGUUUGCAGGAACCUCUAAACGCUUGAUAAUUACAGACACCCUGUGACAGUGAUAACAUUCACAAAGGCACAAAGGCACUAGCGGCUGAGGCUUUUCUGUCCGUUUAUCUGUGUGGGGAUGAAGGUCCUCUGCCUCAGAUAAGACAGCAGGGACACAAUCAUUUAAAGGGGGCUGCUGGCUUGACUCUUUUUUAUUCAUUCAGUUCUGAAGGCACCACUGUAGUAUCUAUUGACCUGUAGUUCAUGAAAUCAACUGUUUGUUUUGUGUCCACGCCAGUGGCUGGGAGUAUUGAUUUACUAAAACCAAUUAAAUGAACAAGUCUUUCAUUCUACAGAGUCUCACCAGAAACAUUAUGUGGCUUACAUGUACUUGUCUUCACAACCAAUGAAAUCCUAUUUAAUUUAUUGAAAUGACAAUGGAUGUUGAUUUAAUU